rnacentral:rRNA from 1 species
UACGGAGGGUGCGAGCGUUGUCCGGAAUCACUGGGCGUAAAGGGCGCGUAGGCGGUUCGUACAGUCAGACGUGAAAUUCCUGGGCUCAACCUGGGGGCUGCGUUUGAUACGUGCGGACUUGAGUGCGGAAGAGGGUCGUGGAAUUCCCAGUGUAGAGGUGAAAAUUCGUAGAUAUUGGGAAGAACACCGGUGGCGAAGGCGGCGACCUGGUCCGAUACUGACGCUGAGGCGCGAAAGCGUGGGGGAGCAAACAGG